UACUAAAUUGUGGUGUCCGGACAGAGGGC
rnacentral:piRNA from 1 species